GACGAACGCUGGCGGCAGGCUUAACACAUGCAAGUCGAGCGAGCGGUGGACGGGUGAGUAAUGUCUGGGAAACUGCCUGAUGGAGGGGGAUAACUACUGGAAACGGUAGCUAAUACCGCAUACCAUCAGAUGUGCCCAGAUGGGAUUAGCUAGUAGGUGGGGUAAUGGCUCACCUAGGCGACGAUCCCUAGCUGGUCUGAGAGGAUGACCAGCCACACGGGAACUUGGACACGGUCCAGACGCCUACGGGAGGCAGCAGUGGGGAAUAUUGCACAAUGGGGGCAAGCCGGAUGCAGCCAUGCCGCGUGUGGGAAGAAGGCCUUCGGGGUGUAAAGCACUUUCAGCGAGGAGGCGUUACUCGCAGAAGAAGCACCGGCUAACUCCGUGCCAGCAGCCGCGGUAAUUC
rnacentral:rRNA from 1 species